UCGAGUUGAUAUAGAUGAUGAGGAAUAGUUCGUUAAAAGAGUAACGAACUAUUCCUCAUCAUCUAUAUCAUCACUUUCUGUG